UACAGAGGGUGCGAGCGUUAAUCGGAAUUACUGGGCGUAAAGCGCGCGUAGGCGGCUUUGCAAGUCGGGUGUGAAAUCCCCAGGCUUAACCUGGGAACUGCAUUCGAGACUGCAUUGCUAGAGUAUGGGAGAGGGAAGUGGAAUUUCCGGUGUAGCGGUGAAAUGCGCAGAUAUCAGGAGGAACACCCGUAGCGAAGGCGGCACUCUGGGCCGGAACUGACGCUGAGGAGCGAAAGCGUGGGGAGCGAACAGG
rnacentral:rRNA from 1 species